GGUUAGGUUUGGGUUAGGUUUGGGUUAGGUUUGGGUUAGGUUUGGGUUAGGUUUGGGUUAGGUUUGGGUUAGGUUUGGGUUAGGUUUGGGUUAGGUUUGGGUUAGGUUUGGGUUAGGUUUGGGUUAGGUUUGGGUUAGGUUUGGGUUAGGUUUGGGUUAGGUUUGGGUUAGGUUUGGGUUAGGUUUGGGUUAGGUUUGGGUUAGGUUUGGGUUAGGUUUGGGUUAGGUUUGGGUUAGGUUUGGGUUAGGUUUGGGUUAGGUUUGGGUUAGGUUUGGGUUAGGGUUGGGUUAGGUUUGGGUUAGGGUUGGGUUAGGUUUGGGUUAGGUUUGGGUUAGGUUUGGGUUAGGUUUGGGUUAGGUUUGGGUUAGGUUUGGGUUAGGUUUGGGUUAGGUUUGGGUUAGGUUUGGGUUAGGUUUGGGUUAGGUUUGGGUUAGGUUUGGGUUAGGUUUGGGUUAGGUUUGGGUUAGGUUUGGGUUAGGUUUGGGUUAGGUUUGGGUUAGGUUUGGGUUAGGUUUGGGUUAGGUUUGGGUUAGGUUUGGGUUAGGUUUGGGUUAGGUUUGGGUUAGGUUUGGGUUAGGUUUGGGUUAGUUGGUUAGUUGGUAUAUUAUUUCGGCAAUUCGCACGUGCCUAAUCUAGACUAGGAUAUCUAAAAACUAAUUUGUGUUGACGAACAAUGUAACAAUAGACCAUUUGAAAUGUAAUGUAAUGUUCAUUAAAGUAAAAUAGUACACUAGGUACUAAUUUUAAUUUUCAUUAAGUAGUGUGUUAAUAGAAUGUCAGGAUAUAAGUAAUAUAUGUCUCGGGCUCAAUUUCCGCACAAUAUUUUGUGUUGUGUAUGAUUAUGUAUAGGUAAACCCACUGAAUAUCAAGGAGAAGGUCCUUUUUAAUUUAUGACGGGGGGAAACAUUCAAAAGGGACCUAGCUUUUUGAGGAUAAAAGACUAGGGAGUGUGGGCUUUUUACCUCAUUAAAACCAUCCCGGUGGCCACCCUCUGCACCUGUAGGGGGCACCGAGUCCUCUAAGUAGACCUGCUCCGGAGUCCCCAUUCAGGAGAAGGUCCUAGUGGAAGUUCGAAAAGAUUAAAACAACUGGAUUUUAUAUUACGGUUAAGUACCUACGUCAUAGUCUUACGAAUUGAUGCAAACUUCUUUAUCCGAUUUGUUCAUCGAUAGAUCAUAAAUAUCUACAAUGGGCAAUAAAUUACAGUAGGUACCAUCUUAACUUUUU